CAGCCGCCGCGGUAAUACGGAGGGGGCUAGCGUUGUUCGGAAUUACUGGGCGUAAAGCGCACGUAGGCGGCUUGGUAAGUUAGAGGUGAAAGCCCGGAGCUCAACUCCGGAAUUGCCUUUAAGACUGCCGAGCUAGCAGGUGAGAGAGGUAAGUGGAAUUCCGAGUGUAGAGGUGAAAUUCGUAGAUAUUCGGAAGAACACCAGUGGCGAAGGCGGCUUACUGGCUCAUUCUAGACGCUGAGGUGCGAAAGCGUGGGGAGCAAACAGGAUUAGAUACCCCGGUAGUCCCUGUCUCUUAUAC
rnacentral:rRNA from 1 species